rnacentral:tRNA from 1 species
AGAUUUCAUAGUUUAAUUUAAAACAUAAUAUUUGUAAUAUUAAAAUAUAAGAAUUUUUUGUAAUCA